GCGUCCGUAGCUCAGCUGGAUAGAGCACCGGGCUUCGAACCCGGGUGUCGGAGGUUCGAAUCCUUCCGGGCGCGCCA
rnacentral:tRNA from 1 species